CACGUAGGGCGCGAGCGUUGUCCGGAAUUAUUGGGCGUAAAGAGCGUGUAGGCGGCCAGGUAGGUCUGCUGUGAAAACUCGAGGCUCAACCUCGAGACGUCGGCGGAAACCAUCUGGCUAGAGUCCGGAAGAGGAGAGUGGAAUUCCUGGUGUAGCGGUGAAAUGCGCAGAUAUCAGGAAGAACACCCGUGGCGAAGGCGGCUCUCUGGGACGGUACUGACGCUGAGACGCGAAAGCGUGGGGAGCGAACAGG
rnacentral:rRNA from 1 species